rnacentral:rRNA from 1 species
UACGUAGGGUGCAAGCGUUGUCCGGAAUUAUUGGGCGUAAAGAGCUCGUAGGCGGUCUGUCGCGUCGGCUGUGAAAACUCGGGGCUCAACCCCGAGCCUGCGGUCGAUACGGGCAGACUUGAGUUCGGCAGGGGAGACUGGAAUUCCUGGUGUAGAGGUGAAAUUCGUAGAUAUCAAGCGGAACACCGGUGGCGAAGGCGGCCUUCUGGACAGUGACUGACGCUGAGACGCGAAAGCGUGGGGAGCAAACAGG